rnacentral:rRNA from 1 species
UACGAAGGGGGCUAGCGUUGUUCGGAAUUACUGGGCGUAAAGCGCACGUAGGCGGAUAUUUAAGUCAGGGGUGAAAUCCCAGAGCUCAACUCUGGAACUGCCUUUGAUACUGGGUAUCUUGAGUAUGGAAGAGGUAAGUGGAAUUGCGAGUGUAGAGGUGAAAUUCGUAGAUAUUCGCAGGAACACCAGUGGCGAAGGCGGCUUACUGGUCCAUUACUGACGCUGAGGUGCGAAAAGCAUGGGGGAGCGAACAGG